AGCGAACGCUGGCGGCGUGCUUAACACAUGCAAGUCGAACGAGAACGGAAUAUAGCUUGCUAUAUUUGUCAGCUAAGUGGCGCACGGGUGAGUAAUGUAUAGAUAACCUGCCCUUAAGAAAGGAAUAACAGUUGGAAACGACUGCUAAUGCCCUAUAUGCCUUUAAUACAUAAGUAUGCAAGGGAAACGCUUUAGUGCUUAAGGAUGGGUCUGUAUGGUAUCAGCUUGUUGGUGAGGUAAUGGCUCACCAAGGCUAUGACGCCUAACUGGUUUGAGAGGAUGAUCAGUCACACUGGAACUGAGACACGGUCCAGACUCCUACGGGAGGCAGCAGUGGGGAAUAUUGCACAAUGGACGAAAGUCUGAUGCAGCAACGCCGCGUGGAGGAUGACACAUUUCGGUGCGUAAACUCCUUUUAUAUAGGAAGAUAAUGAUGGUACUAUAUGAAUAAGCACCGGCUAACUCCGUGCCAGCCGCCGCUGUAACAC
rnacentral:rRNA from 1 species